rnacentral:rRNA from 1 species
GCUAGCGACAGGCUUAACACAUGCAAGUCGAGGGGCAGCACAGGUAGCAAUACCGGGUGGCGACCGGCGCACGGGUGAGUAACGCGUAUGCAACUUGCCUAUCAGAGGGGGAUAACCCGGCGAAAGUCGGACUAAUACCGCAUGAAGCAGGGGCCCCGCAUGGGGAUAUUUGCUAAAGAUUCAUCGCUGAUAGAUAGGCAUGCGUUCCAUUAGGCAGUUGGCGGGGUAACGGCCCACCAAACCGACGAUGGAUAGGGGUUCUGAGAGGAAGGUCCCCCACAUUGGUACUGAGACACGGACCAAACUCCUACGGGAGGCAGCAGUGAGGAAUAUUGGUCAAUGGCCGAGAGGCUGAACCAGCCAAGUCGCGUGAGGGAUGAAGGUUCUAUGGAUCGUAAACCUCUUUUAUAAGGGAAUAAAGUGCGGGACGUGUCCCGUUUUGUAUGUACCUUAUGAAUAAGGAUCGGCUAACUCCGUGCCAGCAGCCGCGGUAAUACGGAGGAUCCGAGCGUUAUCCGGAUUUAUUGGGUUUAAAGGGUGCGUAGGCGGCCUUUUAAGUCAGCGGUGAAAGUCUGUGGCUCAACCAUAGAAUUGCCGUUGAAACUGGGGGGCUUGAGUAUGUUUGAGGCAGGCGGAAUGCGUGGUGUAGCGGUGAAAUGCAUAGAUAUCACGCAGAACCCCGAUUGCGAAGGCAGCCUGCCAAGCCAUUACUGACGCUGAUGCACGAAAGCGUGGGGAUCAAACAGGAUUAGAUACCCUGGUAGUCCACGCAGUAAACGAUGAUCACUAGCUGUUUGCGAUACACUGUAAGCGGCACAGCGAAAGCGUUAAGUGAUCCACCUGGGGAGUACGCCGGCAACGGUGAAACUCAAAGGAAUUGACGGGGGCCCGCACAAGCGGAGGAACAUGUGGUUUAAUUCGAUGAUACGCGAGGAACCUUACCCGGGUUUGAACGCAUUCGGACCGAGGUGGAAACACCUUUUCUAGCAAUAGCCGUUUGCGAGGUGCUGCAUGGUUGUCGUCAGCUCGUGCCGUGAGGUGUCGGCUUAAGUGCCAUAACGAGCGCAACCCUUGCCACUAGUUACUAACAGGUAAAGCUGAGGACUCUGGUGGGACUGCCAGCGUAAGCUGCGAGGAAGGCGGGGAUGACGUCAAAUCAGCACGGCCCUUACAUCCGGGGCGACACACGUGUUACAAUGGCGUGGACAAAGGGAGGCCACCUGGCGACAGGGAGCGAAUCCCCAAACCACGUCUCAGUUCGGAUCGGAGUCUGCAACCCGACUCCGUGAAGCUGGAUUCGCUAGUAAUCGCGCAUCAGCCAUGGCGCGGUGAAUACGUUCCCGGGCCUUGUACACACCGCCCGUCAAGCCAUGGGAGCCGGGGGUACCUGAAGUCCGUAACCGCGAGGAUCGGCCUAGGGUAAAACUGGUGACUGGGGCUAA